UACGUAGGGUGCAAGCGUUAAUCGGAAUUACUGGGCGUAAAGCGCGCGCAGGCGGUUCGGAAAGAGAGGUGUGAAAUCCCAGGGCUUAACCUUGGAACUGCACUUCUAACUACCGGGCUAGAGUACGUCAGAGGGGGGUAGAAUUCCACGUGUAGCAGUGAAAUGCGUAGAGAUGUGGAGGAAUACCGAUGGCGAAGGCAGCCCCCUGGGAUGAUACUGACGCUCAUGCACGGAAGCGUGGGGAGCAAACAGG
rnacentral:rRNA from 1 species